UACGUAGGGUGCGAGCGUUGUCCGGAAUUAUUGGGCGUAAAGAGCUCGUAGGCGGUUUGUCGCGUCUGCUGUGAAAACUCGGGGCUUAACUCCGGGCCUGCAGUGGGUACGGGCAGACUAGAGUGCGGUAGGGGAGACUGGAAUUCCUGGUGUAGCGGUGAAAUGCGCAGAUAUCAGGAGGAACACCGGUGGCGAAGGCGGUUCUCUGGGCAUGUCCUGACGCUGAGGAGCGAAAGUGUGGGGAGCGAACAGG
rnacentral:rRNA from 1 species